rnacentral:rRNA from 1 species
GGGGAAUUUUGGACAAUGGGCGAAAGCCUGAUCCAGCAAUGCCGCGUGCAGGAUGAAGGCCUUCGGGUUGUAAACUGCUUUUGUACGGAACGAAAAGCUUCGGGUUAAUACCCUGGAGCCAUGACGGUACCGUAAGAAUAAGCACCGGCUAACUACGUGCCAGCAGCCGCGGUAAUACGUAGGGUGCAAGCGUUAAUCGGAAUUACUGGGCGUAAAGCGUGCGCAGGCGGUUUUGUAAGACAGAGGUGAAAUCCCCGGGCUCAACCUGGGAACUGCCUUUGUGACUGCAAGGCUAGAGUACGGCAGAGGGGGAUGGAAUUCCGCGUGUAGCAGUGAAAUGCGUAGAUAUGCGGAGGAACACCGAUGGCGAAGGCAAUCCCCUGGGCCUGUACUGACGCUCAUGCACGAAAGCGUGGGGAGCAAAC